CAAACAUCUAACUAAAACAUUCCAGAGAAAGAAAAAAAAAAGUUCAGUGAAUAAUGUAUUGUAUAAAGAAUGUUUCCGUGCUAACGUUUGAGAACAUUAUUCAAGACCAGAUAAAGAACGUUCUAUUAACAUAACUGGAAGAGUGUUUUCUAUUUGUAAGCGUGUUCUCUGUGAGCUGCUUUAGAAGAGUAGGGGAAGGGGAAGCAGAGCUCCAGAUUGGGAGGAUUUUUGGAGCUGUGAUUGGAGCAAAUCCUGGAAGAGGCCUUAAAUGGAAACUGAAGUCUUGGAUCUUUGUUGUUUUCGCUGGAAUGAAGACAAAAUGAGAUGUUCUGAAGCCGUCAGUGAUGAGUCUGAAUGGAAAAGAGCAGCAUGAACAUUCGGCUGAAUGUCUACUUUUGUGUUUUACUGAGGAAAGUCUGUUUGUUAUGGAGA
ensembl:lncRNA